UUGUGGCCCUCACCAGCCACAGUGUACCAUAAAGCAGGGGCUGGGAAACACCCUGGUGCACACCCUGUCAGCUGCACAGUCACAGCGUGUCUACAACAGCUGGGACCCUCUUCCCAAUCAGCCCGAGACACGCACACUCAGCUGCUCAGUCAGGCCAUGGGUGUGUUCUGGCCACGUGCAUGCACACACAUGCACUAAAAAAGAACUUGUUGCAGAAGGGGGCAGCCAGAAGAACACAGUUCCCCUGGUUCUAUGUUAAAGGGUUUCCACUAUAUUCCAGAGCUGCUGCAGGGUGGCAUCUGCUGGGAGCCCUCUGUUUCAUUUCCCCCCUAAGUUCCUCUUUCUGCUGAGGGUAGAGGUAAGGAGAGGCUGCAUAGGGAGGGGUUUGGGAGGAGAAAAUCAAGAAGAAAGGAUGGACCCAUUCCUGUUCCUCUUUCCCCUGUACUUCUCCACUUUGGUCUCUAAGUCUUGUAUAGUAAGUGCACAGCAUUACGUGCUGGAAGACUGCACUAGUUUGCCUGGGCUGCCAUAACAACGGACAGCAGACUGUAUUUCUUCACAUUCUGAAGGUUCGAAGUCCAAGAUCAAGGUGUCAGCAGGCUUGGUUCCUCCUGAGGCCUUGCUCCUGGGCUUGCAAAUGACCAGCUUCUCCAUGUCUUUACGAGGUCUUCCUCUGCUCUUAUAAGGACACCAAGGAAAAUGGAUUCAGGCUCACCCUUAGGACCUCCAAAGGGUUUUUAAAGACCUUUAAUCACCUCUUUAAAGACACUAUGUCCAAAUAAGUUCACAUUCUGAGGUUCUGGGAGUCGGGACUUCAACCAAACCAAAGGUGAAGCAGGAAGAGAAGUCAACCCGUGUGUAUAGAUCCCCCGCCGCGGGCUUCGCACUGGGCCAGGCAGCAGAAACAAAAGAUCAGAAGACAUCAUCUCAGCUCUAUGUGACUGAAUGACAAAAUUACAUCCCAGCAAGUGAGUGAAAGGCGUGGCUGGCUGCAUCCAUCAUGAAUGACUUCAGUGAACCAACAUCAACACUGCUCCCACAGCCCGGAGGGCUCAGCAAGCUCGACCACCAGCAAGUCCAGGAGCGUCACUGAGCCCAGAGCUGGCAGCCCACUGCCACCUCCACCUGCAAUGGAGUCACACAGGGGCCACCACCCCACGCCCAGAGAAGCCUGCCAGCUGUUGCCCAGAGCAGAACCACGAGGGCGCCCAGGCUGAAUCCCAGCCCCAAGGAGUCCUUAGCCCGCGUGGCCACUGAGGACAAGCAGUCUGCCUGCCCAGCCCGGCUCACACGCUGCGUGUGCUGAAACAAAGCCUUUCUCCCAGGGCUCUCAGAGUUGCUUCCUCUCCUGAAAAUGGGGUGCUGGCUUUGGAGAUGCCCGCUCGUCGUGGAUGUGAGUCUUGAUCACCAUUGAGUCCUGAAGCUUCUGGAUCCACUUUUAAUUGGAGCUAGGAGUUUUUUUCUGCUUUGUUUUGACCACACUUCUAUCCAGGAGUAUGCCCUGUUCUUUUUCCUUUCUACUGUUUGUCCCCUUCCUCUGGGCCCUGCAUUCCUGGCAUAUUUGGACAGAGCAGGGCUGGCCUGAGGCCACUUUUCUAAGUAUCUUCUCAGUCCUACAGUCCUGCUUCCAACACAGUCUCUUUGCUUUGUUUAUUCUGGACUUCCCACUCCCAGGCAAGUGCCAGAUGUGGGGCAGGACCAUGGAGUCAGACUUCCACAGACACCAAGGCACAAACAACUGAGCCACGGUCGCCAUGGGUAGCGGUGCUCAAACAAGCUGGCUGGAAACUCCAGCCCACAACCUCCAAAGGGGGAACAUGCAAAACGAUCAGACAAAGGAGGGGUUAACCUUGUGCCGCCAUCUUACGGGGAAUUUCCCCCCAACACAUUUGGCAAAGUAAAAGGGAAGAAAGAAUCCCGAACUGUGAGCCCCCCACUGCCCUCGAUGAGUUCUGGAGCACCAGCCCACCGCGGGGGUCUGGUUACAGGCUCGGAGGUCAGCACUAUUUUCUCUCGGCCACUGUCUCCCCGGGUGACCUUUGCUAGGACAAGCUCCUCGCUCAGCCUCCACGUCCCCUCUCUGGAGGUGCCAGAGACGGCUGUACAGCGUGGGCGACAUCAGGGUGCUUCCGGCCCGAGUGCAAGCCAGCAGCACCUGCCAUGACCUCAUGUUCUGUGGAGCCCCGCUAGGCCUCCCUUAAAUCUUACCUCGAGGAAAGGUCAACCCAAUUCAGAUCAGAGGAAAAUCUGAAGUUUACGCUAUCCUCUAAAUUGUUUUCAAGUUCCCAUGGGGGAAAGAGAUUGAUUCAUUUUGUUAAUAAGCAAAGGUCUUAUUUUUCCACCUUCAGUCGUAUAAACGUCAAAGGGGGGAAAAAGCCUUCGUAUUCAAUCAAAAAACAGUUCCAGCAUUUUUAAAAAGUCAAGUGGAGAUAAAACAGAUGAUCCACCAGAAGGGGGAAAAAGGAGGCUUAGCUCCAAAGCCAUCAUACCUUAAAUUAUCUAAUGUUUAACUCCCUCCACAAAGCCCUCCUGGAAGUGUUUGCCUGUGUUCAAGAACAGUUAGCAGCGAAGGCAAGAGCAACAGCCUUGAUCCUUCUAGGAUUCUUGUAACUUUGGAUGAAUGAAGCCACUGGACUAAGAAAGCUGAGGAGGAUGAGGGAAUGCACUUACAUGGAACCAUCAUACAAAAUCCACCCCAUGUUCACAGCAACAUUAUUCAGUAACAGCCAAAGGUGAAUUCGACCUAAAGGCCUAGCAGGUGUAUGCAACCUAUAUUGUGCUUCUGUGAUCCAAGUCAUGCAAAGAGCCAGGUGACUAUUUUCCAUUAUAGCUCACAAUCCCAGCUGGUGUUCAAC